GGAAGUAAAAGUCGUAACAAGAUAACCGUAGGUGAACCUGCGGUUGGAUCAUUACUGAUUCGUAAAGUGCAUUGGGUAAUGUGUUUGGUUACUUUUUUUCUUUGGUUUCAGGGGGGAGAGAGCCUUGACUUUUUUUUGUUCUUUGUUUAGGGGCAUGUGUUGCCUCCGUUCAGUUUACCAAAUCCUUUUCCAUUCUUGUUUGUUUAUUCUAGUUUUCUGGUUUUGAGAUGAGCAAGGACCGCCUCUUAAGACUGGUUUGCUCGUACGGCGUUUUGUUAGUUUUCAAGAUGCAAAGCC
rnacentral:misc_RNA from 1 species